UGUAACCCUGGAAGUUGCGAGGUGGGGAAAUACCUAACCUAGGACACCUGGCCACCAAGGCAAAUUUUUGCUGCCCAAAUAUUCCACUGGAGCAUGGUUGACUUAUUAGGAGCUGCACUUUUAGAGAAAAACAGACUCUUCCUUUGCCAGCAGACAUCAGAAAUUUCGUUCAAGAAUUCUUAAUGAGAUUCCUAGUGUGGCGAUUUUAUUAACUCAGGAUUUAGAGUACAUCAAGUGAGAAUGGAGGAUGCAAGUGCAUGACAAGAUAUUCGGAGAACAAUUUAAAGGCAAGAACUCUGUAAUGAGGCUGCUUCUGCCCAAGGAAGCUGGGGGAUGUAUGUGCUGGACUAGUUUUUUGUCAUCUGGACAUAAUUGGAGUAAUUUGGAAGAGAGAACAAAAUUGAGAAAAUGCUUCCACCAGAGUGGCUUGUGGGCGAGCCUAGGGAACUUUUUCUUGAUUAGUAAUUUAUGUGGGAGGGCCCAGCCCAUUGUGGGUGGGGCCUGGACAGAUGGUCCUGCAUGCUUUAAGGAAGGAAACCGAGCAAGCAGCCGAGCAGCACUCCUCCACGACCUCCUUCCUUC